UACGUAGGGGGCAAGCGUUGUCCGGAUUUAUUGGGCGUAAAGAGCGUGUAGGCGGCCUGACAGGUCUGCUGUGAAAACUCGAGGCUCAACCUCGAGAUGUCGGCGGAAACCGUCUGGCUAGAGUCCGGAAGAGGAGAGUGGAAUUCCUGGUGUAGCGGUGAAAUGCGCAGAUAUCAGGAGGAACACCUGUGGUGUAGACAGCUUACUGGACCAUAACUGACGCUGAGGCACGAAAGCGUGGGUAGCAAACAGG
rnacentral:rRNA from 1 species